AAUUAUCCAAGUUGGACCCUUCUCAUGGAAGAUGUCUUGGUUCAAGGAUCCAUACUUGUGAAUGAAUGGUUGAGUGUUCUCUAAAGAAUGACUUAAUCAAUUAAAACUCACCACUAACCAUUGACUAAUUCUUAAUUAAUGUCGCUUUACUUUCAAGUCAUUUACUUUAUGCAAUUUAAAUUUCAGUGCCUUUAUCGUUCUUUUCCAUUUACGUUUCAUGCAACUUGU
rnacentral:lncRNA from 1 species